AACGCACGAGACCUGCGGACCUGCGGAGGGAUCAUUACCGAGUUAGGGUAGUCACUCACUGCCCGACCUCCCAACCCUGUGUCUACCACACUUUGUCGUUGCUUCGGCGGACCGGUUGACCAACUGGUCGUGACCGCCGGGGGCUGGCUCUGUCCCCCCUGGAGAGCGUCCGUCGAUGGCCCAACCACAAAACUCUUGUACCGAAACGUGUCGUCUGAAUUAUAUUUGAGAAAUCAAAAA
rnacentral:misc_RNA from 1 species